GGCUCGGUGGUGCGGUCCCGGGUCAGGUCUGAGGCGAGGCGGCGCGAGGCGCUGUCAGUGCCGCGGUGCGAGGUUCAGCCCAGUGCCGGUACCGGGAGCCGCCCUGCCGCCACCGCCAUGGAGCCCCAUCGCUGGCUGCCCCUGGAGGCCAACCCCGACGUCACGAAUCAGUUUCUCAAACAGCUAGGUAUACAUCCUGACUGGCAAUUUGUAGAUGUUUAUGGUAUGGAACCAGAACUGCUUAGCAUGGUGCCAAGACCUGUCUGUGCAGUGCUACUUCUCUUUCCAAUAACAGAAAAGUAUGAAACCUUCAGAACAGAAGAAGAAGAGAGAAUAAAAGCUAAGGGGCAAGAUGUCAAAUCAUCAGUGUAUUUCAUGAAGCAGACCAUUAACAAUGCUUGUGGAACAAUUGGGCUAAUUCAUGCUAUUGCAAACAACAGAGAUAAAAUGAACUUUGAAACUAAUUCUUCACUGAAAAAGUUCCUAGAAGAUUCAUUAUCUAUGACUCCUGAAGAGAGGGCCAAAUAUCUAGAAACUUAUGAAGCUAUUCGUGUCACUCAUGAAUCCAGUGCCCAUGAAGGUCAGACUGAGGGCUUACUGUACGGGAACUGUGUAACGAGGCCACAAACACUUAGUUUGUUGGGAGGAGUUAUUGCACACUCAUGGACCGACUCAACUGAGCAGAUGCAGAACAUGUGGCAGGGCCUCUGAUCCCAGGGUUGUGCAUAUGAAACGAAGACCAGGACUGAAAGUAUUGUAUCUCCUUCUGUUUCCCAAGUUUCCAGUGAUGUUGGUAUGCAGUUAAAGUUCAUUUGAUCUCUGUCCCAGUGCAACUAGCAUUUCUUUCUACACAGUGACACAACCUCAAAAUGGACGAAAGAAGAAAGCCCCAGUCCCAGCAUAGUUCGUCAGCUGAUAGACAGGGAAGCUUCCCUAGAGGAAGGUGGCAUGGGCUUGAACUUUCCACUGAGAGGAUGCCCUGAACUUGAGCUUCCAGAGAGAUGAAUUUUUGUAACCACUAGCAAGUUAAUCAGUAAUAAAUAUUUCUCCUUAGAAAGAAAUGGUCAUGCAAUACCAGAUGCUGCUUUGUCCUGUUAGGUCUUCAAUACAUGAGACAUGGACUGAGAUACUUUGCUGGAUUGGGUUCCCCAAACAAGACGAGCGGACAGAUCCCUGUUUCUAUAACCUGACAGGUUUGGGCAUGAGCCAAGUCAUGAGCUACUCAGCACUAUCAAACUUCUGCAUUUUUAGGUAUGUGCAAAAGCACAGUUCUUAUUGCCUGACGAAUUUCAUAGGAGUUUCCUUUAGAUCUUAGAUUUAAAUGGCUCAAGGCUUUAAUAACAGCUAUAUAUAGGAAUGAGUUGGAUUGGGGCAGAUGAUAAUUGCCUGAACAUUUUUUUGGACAUAUUCCAUGAAGCUUUUAACUUGUUUAAAAUGUAUUUUUUGCAUUACAAACCAUAAACUUAAUGUGCUUACUGGUUUAUAUGACAAUAACAUUUAAUUCUAUUUCAGGGUUUUUGUUUUACCACUUCAGAUAUUUGACCUGCUAUAUUUUCAGCACAGAGAUAUGCUCCUGUGAUCUUUUCAUCUUGUGAAGUUAGUCUAAUGCUCUCUUCUCUGCAGUUUCUAGCUGUUAAUGUCUUGUUUGAAUAGACUGUCUCAAGUUAUGAUUUGUCUUCCACGUUUUAAAUUAAAUGCGAAAUGUACAACUUUAUAUCCUUUAUUUGGAGUUGUGUAUUUAACAUUCAUUUCAUAUUAUUAUUGACAUGUAAUUGUAUUUUAAUUUUUUUAAUAUUCAGUUGAAAACAACUUCAGUUGACACAGCUUAAUUUGUACUUAGUAUUAAAGCAAUGCAUGGAAUUUUAUGGCUAUUGCAGCCUUAUUCAUUAGUCAUAAUCCAGUAUUAACAUUGCUUUUCCAGAAUUCCUAUAUACUGUCUGUCAAAAUUUCACUCUUACAAAUGCAAAAGUAUAUUUUCAGUGGGGAGGAAGUUUCUUUUUGUCUUGGUUGGUCUCACUAGGGGACCCACUAGUACAGGAAAUAAAAGAUAAAAAGAUUCAAUGAAUGGAAUUUAAAAUAAGAACAAUUACUGACCUAAAAAUAUUAAAAUAUUAGUUGCCUUAAACUGCAUUCUAGGUUGUAAAUUCAGUUUUGAGAACUUAAAGUCUUUUCUGGUCUCAUUACAUUCAGGCAAGGGGCGUUUUUAAUACAUUCUCAUUAUUUUAGCAAUAUUAGCUAUAAAACAAAGAAAUACGUGCAAUCAUUAAGAAUAGUAAAAGUGAAGAAUUCUGGUAAAAACGGUAACAAAAGUAAAAAAGGCUUUAUAAAAAAAUCUUUCAAUAUUCUGCUCAUCCCUGUACUGUUAAACAGACCUUAAACUUGGUAUUGUUCAAAGUCUUAUUAAUGGUUUCAUAGUAAUUACACUAGGAGUGCUAAAAGAUAGGGGUUUUUUUAGAGCAAAAGUGUACAGUUUAACAGCUUUCAGUCAAUGAAAUGCAUCAAAGCCAUAGUAAAUUCUUACUUUCAACAAGUUUUUCAGUUUCAUUUUUUUUACUAUUUCAAAGUAAACAGUUACUAUAUUGCAGAUUCUGGGAAGACUAACAAUCUUGUCUGUUUUGAUAGCAGCAGCUUACAAAAUUGUAAAACAUAAUGUAGUGUGUCUUGCCGUUGUCCUGAACUGUCUAGUCAGCAAAGCUCUUAAAUUUCUACCCCACAGCAGAUUCUAAUCUUACAGGUUCUUCCCUCCAGAGGGAGAUCUGUGGACUGUGAAGACUUCUAGGAGCAAUGUUUUAUCAGUUGUCUUUUGGAAUUUUUUUAGGCAAGCUGAGAAUAAAUUGUUUUUAAAGCUAUCUGAUACGUUAUCUAAAUGUAAAAUGUCUCAUUUUACAUCCGUUCAAGUGAAGAAUUUGAAGAAAACAACCAGUAGUACAGAUAAACUAUAAUAGCCAUUAAAGUCUUGUAAGCUUCUCUGACUCAUAGAAGUAUUGGCAUUGCUAAAUUCCUCUUUCUUCAUAUAGUUACAUUUUUGGGCUGGAGGUUUUCUGUUUUUGUCCUCUCUUAUGUGGAGCUACUGAGAUUUAGGGGUGGAUUAGAAUGUUUGAAAAUCAGAAGCUAAUUGAAACAAAAAAAAAAAACCCAAAACUGUGGCAAACCUGUGAAAAACUAUUUUCUGGACAGGUUCAGACUUGAUAACACUCCCUGCUUAUCUCUGAGCUCUACAGUUUCUACUGUACUUGAUGCUUGCUCUUUAUGAAGAAUUUCUAUCCCUUUCUUUGUUCUUUAAGGUCAGCAAUAUCAGAGCAGAAAGAACCAAUUCAUUAUCCCACUCUUGAUGGGAAAAGGAAAAAACGUAAAAUUCAAUGGGAAAGAAGAUGAAUUGCUUCAAAAAUAAUACAAAGAAAGUAAAUGGUUUUGACUGGCAUUUAUGCAUUGAUUAAAAAGAGUGAAAAUUUUUUUCAGAGAAGCUAUCUAAUGCUUCUUUUUUGAAGUCUACUAGAAUCAUUGCAUUGAAUGCAUAAUGUGGGACAUACCUUGAGGAACUGCAGUUUUUAUUCUGCUUGUAUAACUUUAAUCAAUUCACAAGCAGCUGGCUGGUCUCCAUGCAGAUAAGUGGGGUAUCACUGAUGAGUAAGUAUGUUUGCUAGUGGGGCUCUCCAGGCAUUGCUCCUAAGACCUGUACUGUUAAACAACUUCUAUCAGUGACAUGGAAGACAACAGAAAAAUACACCCCAAAACCUAUAGGCAGUGUAAAAAGUUCAAGAGAUAGCAAAGCGUAAGACAUCAACACAAGACAGUCUGGAUUGCCCUUUAGGUUAGCUUCAAACAAAGGAGUAUUUUUCCGAGGCCAAUAAAAGCUUUGUAAUUAGCACAAAAGAAAGUUUAUUUCCUGACAGAAGCUGAGGGGUUCUCUGAAAGACUGAAGACGACAUUGGGGAUUUUUAUAUGUGCUGAGAGGAGAAAGUAAUGGUGGAUGAUAAACUGAAGGUGAGCCCCUGGUUUGACAUCGUGGCCAGAUGAACUAAUGUAAUCAUUGUUCCAUAUUCAUAUCAUCGUUAAGCAGGACUAGAAAGGUUGCCUUUUCAUUUAGCACUGACAUAUUUAGUAAACUGUAUGAAUAUAUUACUUACUGUCUCUGUAGCUAUAGACAGGAUUGAUUGAAAUUUUGGGUUGUUCUAAUUUAUUUCAGUAGUAAAAAAAAUAUUGUUAAGCUUGAAUGUUUGUUUUUGUUUUAUGAGUAUGUUUUGAUCCAAACAAAACUUGAACUUGAUUGGUCCUGUGGCCUGUGUGGGACAGAAGAGCAAAACUAAAUCAUCACAAUGGUCCUUUCUGGUCUUAAUAUAUUUACUGUAACUUUGUCAGUUGCAGCUGAGAGUCAUUUUUAAUACUUCUGUGGUCUUUCUUCUAAUAGUAACAAUUUGAAUGGUUUAACAUAGUCCUACUGCUUCCACGGAUACUAAAGAGAUCCUGAGUGUUAAUGGCAAUACUGCCACUGGCCUGCUAUUUUAGAAGAAUAGGUGAAAAGCUUAGGAAGUUGCAUACCUCACCACGGUAAGCUUCCCUUUUCCUUUGCUUUCCUUUUAUGUUAGACAUGGAACAGUAAAGAAACUCUGGGUUCUGUUACAGUACUUACUUGAUUCAUUUUAAAUCCCAGAGCAGCACAACCUAGCUUUCCCAAAUUAGCAAAGAACUGUUGCUUACAGUUCUUGUAGCUGUGGACAAAACUCUGUUCUCAACUAUUCCCUUCCAUGAGAUGAUACUUAAAUCCCCUUCCUCCUCACUUUCCCAGUCUGUCUCUUGAACAAGUCAGUUAACUUGUGUUCAUAUGAUGAAGUUCACUGGGUGUGAAUAACCUCUAGCUUAUCUGGUGAUAAACUUCAGAUUUGGACCAUGUCUUUGCUUAUUUUCAUUGUUCUUUUGUCUUCUCAUUCAAAUUCAAUACAUUCUUGAUUAUUAUCUGUGUGAUUUGAUCAGUUAAAGGACAGUAUAAUAAAUAGUGGACAUCUUUGCAGUUGCCUUUUUAGGUAUGUUACUUCAAGUUUAAGUGGGCUAAGUAUGUUCUUUUUUAAUGUUUAUGUAGUCGUCAUCGUCCUCGCUGUCUUCACCACCAUCCUCAUCGCAGCCUCAGGUUAGCCACAGCAGAACGAAGGCUUCACCAUUGUGUCACUCUGCAUCCCUCUCCUGGGCCAAACGUAAUCAUGUAGGUCCUGCAAAGGCUACCAGUCCGUCAAUCCGUCUUCGUCGUUGGCGGCCCUUGAUACGCCUUCCAUCUGUUGGGCUUCAUUCUGUUGCACCAAGUAUAGAUGAAAAAGUAGAUCUUCACUUUAUUGCAUUAGUUAAUGUAGGUGGUCAUCUCUAUGAAUUGG